rnacentral:rRNA from 1 species
GACGAACGCUGGCGGCGUGCUUAGCACAUGCAAGUCGAACGGUAAGGCCCUUCGGGGUACACGAGUGGCGAACGGGUGAGUAACACGUGGGUGAUCUGCCCUGCACUUCGGGAUAAGCCUGGGAAACUGGGUCUAAUACCGGAUAGGACCACUGCCUGCAUGGGUGGUGGUGGAAAGCUUUUGCGGUGUGGGAUGGGCCCGCGGCCUAUCAGCUUGUUGGUGGGGUGAUGGCCUACCAAGGCGACGACGGGUAGCCGGCCUGAGAGGGUGACCGGUCACACUGGGACUGGGAUACGGCCCAGACUCCUACGGGAGGCAGCAGUGGGGAAUAUUGCACGAUGGGCGCAAGCCUGAUGCAGCGACGCCGCGUGAGGGAUGACGGCCUUCGGGUUGUAAACCUCUUUCAGCACCGACGAAGCGCAAGUGACGGUAGGUGCAGAAGAAGGACCGGCCAACUACGUGCCAGCAGCCGCCGCGG